rnacentral:rRNA from 1 species
AUUGAACGCUGGCGGCAUGCCUUACACAUGCAAGUCGAACGGUAACAGGUCUUCGGAUGCUGACGAGUGGCGAACGGGUGAGUAAUACAUCGGAACGUGCCUAGUAGUGGGGGAUAACUACUCGAAAGAGUGGCUAAUACCGCAUGAGAUCUACGGAUGAAAGCAGGGGAUCGCAAGACCUUGUGCUACUAGAGCGGUCGAUGGCAGAUUAGGUAGUUGGUGGGAUAAAAGCUUACCAAGCCGACGAUCUGUAGCUGGUCUGAGAGGACGAUCAGCCACACUGGGACUGAGACACGGCCCAGACUCCUACGGGAGGCAGCAGUGGGGAAUUUUGGACAAUGGGCGAAAGCCUGAUCCAGCAAUGCCGCGUGCAGGAUGAAGGCCUUCGGGUUGUAAACUGCUUUUGUACGGAACGAAAAGCUCUGGGUUAAUACCCUGGGGUCAUGACGGUACCGUAAGAAUAAGCACCGGCUAACUACGUGCCAGCCGCCGCGGUAACAC